rnacentral:tRNA from 21 species
CGGUGAUUGGCGCAGCCUGGUAGCGCACUUCGUUCGGGACGAAGGGGGCGGAGGUUCGAAUCCUCUAUCACCGACCA